rnacentral:rRNA from 1 species
GAACUGUGCAAACGUUAUUCGGAAUCACUGGGGCUUAAAGGGGUGCGUAGGCGGCAGUGUAGGUCAGAUGUGAAAGCCCACGGCUCAACCGUGGGAAUUGCGUUUGAAACCACACAGCUUGAGGGAGAUAGAGGAGAGCGGAACUGUUGGUGGAGCGGUGAAAUGCGUUGAUAUCAACAGGAACACCGGUGGCGAAAGCGGCUCUCUGGAUCUCUUCUGACGCUGAGGCACGAAAGCUAGGGGAGCGAACGGGAUUAGAUACCCCGGUAGUCCUAGCUGUAAACGAUCAGCACUAGUCCGUGGGGACUUCCACAUCCUCUCGGACGUAGCGAAAGUGUUAAGUGCUGCGCCUGGGGAGUAUGGUCGCAAAGGCUGA